GAUGAACGCUGGCGGCGUGCCUAACACAUGCAAGUCGAGCGAUUCUCUUCGGAGAAGAGCGGCGGACGGGUGAGUAACGCGUGGGUAACCUGCCCUGUACACACGGAUAACAUACCGAAAGGUAUGCUAAUACGAGAUAAUAUGCUUUUAUCGCAUGGUAGAAGUAUCAAAGCUUUUGCGGUACAGGAUGGACCCGCGUCUGAUUAGCUAGUUGGUAAGGUAACGGCUUACCAAGGCGACGAUCAGUAGCCGACCUGAGAGGGUGAUCGGCCACAUCGGAACUGAUACACGGUCCAAACUCCUACGGGAGGCAGCAGUGGGGAAUAUUGCACAAUGGGCGAAAGCCUGAUGCAGCAACGCCGCGUGAGCGAUGAAGGCCUUCGGGUCGUAAAGCUCUGUCCUCAAGGAAGAUAAUGACGGUACUUGAGGAGGAAGCCCCGGCUAACUACGUGCCAGCCGCCGCCGUAA
rnacentral:rRNA from 1 species